rnacentral:misc_RNA from 1 species
UUUAAGCCCAAGCUGUGCUGCUUUAAUCGCCGCCACAUAGCCUCCGGGACCACCACCGAUAACAACGACGUCGUUCUCAUCGGAUCCUGAAGCGAAGCCUCUGGUUAAAGAGAACGAAUACUUGGAGGUGCUGUAGAGGAAUCUGGAUGACAGAAACGUUGUAGCCUUUCGUCUAGCUAAGGUAGAAAUCGCCAUUUGUAGAGAUCAGUUAACGGAAUCGUGUAUUCCGGUGAACUUCCCGGUAGGUUUUUUUGGUCAAUUUUGGCGAUUCGAUGUGAACUGUUCAGUUGUUGAAG